UACGUAGGUGGCAAGCGUUGUCCGGAAUUAUUGGGCGUAAAGCGCGCGCAGGUGGUUUCUUAAGUCUGAUGUGAAAGCCCACGGCUCAACCGUGGAGGGUCAUUGGAAACUGGGGAACUUGAGUGCAGAAGAGGAAAGUGGAAUUCCAAGUGUAGCGGUGAAAUGCGUAGAGAUUUGGAGGAACACCAGUGGCGAAGGCGACUUUCUGGUCUGUAACUGACACUGAGGCGCGAAAGCGUGGGGAGCGAACAAGG
rnacentral:rRNA from 1 species